CCACAGACCAGAUUGACAUUGUGCUGUUGGUUGAUCAUUCUUCAAGCAUCAGCCCAAAGGACUUUGCUACCAUCCGUCUCUUUCUUGCUGACAUAGUCAGAAGCUUUGACAUCAGCCCAGACAAAGUCCAGAUUGGUGUGAAAGAUGCUGGCAUGACACAGCUGUGGUCCAUUGCUUCUGGCCUCAAAGAAUCUCACAUGUACUAUAUUAAGGAAUUCCUCUCUGUCCCAGAGAUCGCCAACAACUUCACCAUCAACCUCUGUAACAGCACUAAAAGCAUAGACUCUGUCAGGCUGGUGAAUGGAACCAGUCUGUGUUCAGGCAGACUGGAGGUGAAGUCUAACCAGUUUAACCAGUCUAACCAGUGGUGGUCCUCAGUGUGUGAAGCAGGAUGCAGACGUGGUCUGUAGGGAGCUUGGCUGUGGGGCUCCUUCAGUCCUCCAGGGGGCGCUCUAUGGAGAAGUGGAGCCUCCAAUGUGGAACAAAGAGUUCCAGUGUGGAGGCCAUGAGUCUGCUCUCCUGGACUGUAGAAGCUCAGACUCAGCUACAACCACCUACUCACCUGGCAAAGCUGUUGGACUCACCUGCUCAGAGCCUGUCAGGUUGAUGGGAGGAGCCAGUCGCUGUGCAGGUACACUGCAGGUGAACCAGGGAGAGUGGAGACCAGUGGAAGACUAUGGCUGGACCCUGAAGGGAGCAGCUGUAGUCUGCAGAGAGCUGGAC